GCCCCGAGCGGAACAAAGAAGAGCGGAAAAUUAUCAUCGUUACAAAUUGAAAGGGAAAUCACCUUUCCAAGGUGCACUUGGCUCUGGGAUCACACAGUGAAGGGAAAUCGAACCUGGCGGACCCAAGAGAUAAUUUCAUUCACACUCUUGCCUCUGAGUCAGACAUAACCAAGUCUCUCUCCAUAGUGAAGCACCUCCAGGGAAGAAGUCCCUUGCCCAAUCAUUUCACGGUCCUUGGUAAUUUCUUGCAGCUAUCUAACUUUUAUUUUCUUUGCUACACUAAAUCCUGAUCGUUUGACCCAGCAAAGGAGAAUGGCUGGCCCAUCUCCUGUAUGAUUAGACUGAGUUCUUCAAGGGUUGAGUCCUUGCUCUAUUCAUUUUUACAUCCCUAGAACCCAGCCCCAUGCCCGGCACAUGGUAAAGACUCAAUGGUCACUGAGAGAAUUAAUGUCCACAAAGGUAAAGAUUCCAACAUCCUCCCACGAAUGCCUGGUUUUUCAGACUCAUCAGUUUGGUCACCACCUACAAGAAGGCAUAAGAGUCAGUGGCUGCAGGCCCAGCCUUUAUGCAGUUUCCUCCACUGCAGGUGAAGCAAAGACACACCAGUCUCCCAGAUCGCCCAGAGAGCACAUGUGACAUGAAAACACUUUGGAAACAGAGUGCUUGGGACCCAGAGAAGCAGGAUAAAUGGCAAAGAAAAGUACUCUGAGGAUUUCAAACAAGUUCUGAGAGAAUGACAUUGUGAGAGAGAUCUGCACAAAGUGCCAUGGGAGCACAGAGGAGGAAGACAGACUCAGCCCGGGGAGACUGGGGAAAACUUCCUGAAAGUCUUUUGUUUCAUCUGAGACUCCAUGGGUGAGAGGGAAAGUGAAGUUUGAAGACACAGGUAACAACACUUGGAAGACCAUCGAGUGAAGAAAGAGCAGAGCAUUUUUGGAAAUUAUAAAUA